rnacentral:lncRNA from 1 species
UAUAUAUAUAUAUAUAUAUAUAUAUAUAUAUAUAUAUAUAUAUAUAUAUAUAUAUCUUAUAUAUAAAAAUCUAUUGCUGUGCGUUAGUCUCGCUAAAACUCGAGAAUGUGUGGACCGAUUUGGCUAAUUUUGAUGUUGAAUUAUUUGUGGAAGUUCAGGGAAGGUUUAUACGGUUUUAUAUUGUCAUUUUAGUAGCCACCAAAAUUUUUACAGCUAUAUGUAUAAAAUGCUCUUUUUACAGUGUUUGUUGCCAUACUCCUCCGAAACGACUUGACCGAUUUUUAUGAAAGUUUGCAAGUGUAUUCGACCGGACCGGUAGUAGGUUGUUAUCUAUAUUUCAUACCCGUGCGUCUUAAGGGGGCUUGCCACCCUUAUAUUUAUUUCUAUUUUUUCAGAGAAACUCUUUUUUUUUAAUUUCAUAUGAUGUGGAACGUAAAGAUACAUACAACCCUAAAUUUUCACUUUUCCAGCACUAACCGUUAUUUUUUAAUGGCCAUUUAAAUAUUUUACAUCUAUAUAAACAAAAGAAAGUCGUGACAGUUACCAACACAUAACUCGAGAACGACUGAAUAGAUUUUUAUGAAAUUUUCCACGUAUAUUUGACCGGACCGAGAAUAGGUUGUUAUGUAUUUUUCAUAUCCGUACGUCGUAACGGGGGCUGCCCCCCUAAAAUAUUUUUUUAUUUUUUUUUUGGUCAAACUGUUUUUUCUUAAUUUUAUGUGAUGUGGAAGGCAAAGGUAAAUACAACCCUAAAUUUUCACUUUUCUAUCUUCGACCGUUAUUUUUUAAUAGCCAUCUAAAAUUUUGCAUCUUAUAUAUAAAAAUCUAUUGCUGUGCGUUAGUCUCGCUAAAACUCGAGACUGUAUGGACCGAUUUGGCUAAUUUUGAUGUUGAAUUAUUUGUGGAAGUUCAGGGAAGGUUUAUACGGUUUUAUAUUGUCAUUUUAGUAGCCACCAAAAUUUUUACAGCUAUAUGUAUAAAAAGCUCUUUUUACAGUGUUUGUUGCCAUACUCCUCCGAAACGACUUGACCGAUUUUUAUGAAAGUUUGCAAGUGUAUUCGACCGGACCGGUAGUAGGUUGUUAUCUAUAUUUCAUACCCGUGCGUCUUAAGGGGGCUUGCCACCCUUAUAUUUAUUUCUAUUUUUUCAGAGAAACUCUUUUUUUUUAAUUUCAUAUGAUGUGGAACGUAAAGAUACAUACAACCCUAAAUUUUCACUUUUCCAGCACUAACCGUUAUUUUUUAAUGGCCAUUUAAAUAUUUUACAUCUAUAUAAACAAAAGAAAGUCGUGACAGUUACCAACACAUAACUCGAGAACGACUGAAUAGAUUUUUAUGAAAUUUUCCACGUAUAUUUGACCGGACCGAGAAUAGGUUGUUAUGUAUUUUUCAUAUCCGUACGUCGUAACGGGGGCUGCCCCCCUAAAAUAUUUUUGUUAUUUUUUUGGUCAAACUGUUUUGUCUUAAUUUUAUGUGAUGUGGAAGGCAAAGGUAAAUACAACCCUAAAUUUUCACUUUUCUAUCUUCGACCGUUAUUUUUUAAUAGCCAUCUAAAAUUUUGCAUCUUCUUCUUAUAUAUAAAAAUCUAUUGCUGUGCGUUAGUCUCGCUAAAACUCGAGAAUGUGUGGACCGAUUUGGCUAAUUUUGAUGUUGAAUUAUUUGUGGAAGUUCAGGGAAGAUUUAUACGGUUUUAUAUUGUCAUUUUAGUAGCCACCAAAAUUUUUACAGCUAUAUGUAUAAAAUGCUCUUUUUACAGUGUUUGUUGCCAUACUCUUCCGAAACGACUUGACCGAUUUUUAUGAAAGUUUGCAAGUGUAUUCGACCGGACCCGUAGUAGGUUGUUAUCUAUAUUUCAUACCCGUGCGUCUUAAGGGGGCUUGCCACCCUUAUAUUUAUUUCUAUUUUUUCAGAGAAACUCUUUUUUUUUAAUUUCAUAUGAUGUGGAACGUAAAGAUGCAGACAACCCUAAAUUUUCACUUUUCCAGCACUAACCGUUAUUUUUUAAUGGCCAGUUAAAUAUUUUACAUCUAUAUAAACAAAAGAAAGUCGUGACAGUUACCAACACAUAACUCGAGAACGACUGAAUAGAUUUUUAUGAAAUUUUCCACGUAUAUUUGACCGGACCGAGAAUAGGUUGUUAUGUAUUUUUCAUAUCCGUACGUCGUAACGGGGGCUGCCCCCCUAAAAUAUUUUUUUAUUUUUUUGGUCAAACUGUUUUUUCUUAAUUUUAUGUGAUGUGGAAGGCAAAGAUAAAUACAACCCUAAAUUUUCACUUUUCUAUCUUCGACCGUUAUUUUUUAAUAGCCAUCUAAAGUUUUGCAUCUUAUAUAUAAAAAUCUAUUGCUGUGCGUUAGUCUCGCUAAAACUCGAGAAUGGCUGGACCGAUUUGGUUAAUUUUGAUGUUGAAUUUUUUGUGGAAGUUCAGGGAAGGUUUAUACGGUUUUAUAUUGUCAUUUUAGUAGCCACCAAAAUUUUUACAGCUAUAUGUAUAAAAUGCUCUUUUUACAGUGUUUGUUGCCAUACUCCUCCGAAACGACUUUACCGAUUUUUAUGACUUUUUUCAAGUAUACUCG